rfam:Oryza rufipogon genomic scaffold, chr03
AGAAAAGACAAACCCGAAUUUCCGUAUCUAACUUUAAUUGUCCGUUUUAUAUAAAAUUUUUUUAUAAUUCAUAUUUUUAUUGUUGUUAGAUGAUAAAACAUGAUUAAUAUUUUAUGCGUGACUUGUCUUUUUAAUUUUUUUCAUAAAUUUUUAAAUAAGACGGAUGGUCAAACGUUGGACACGGAAACCAGGGUUUGUCUUGUU